UACAGAGGGGGCUAGCGUUGUUCGGAAUUACUGGGCGUAAAGGGCGCGUAGGCGGCUUGACAAGUCAAAGGUGAAAUCCCUCGGCUCAACUGAGGAACUGCCUUUGAAACUGUCUGGCUUGAAUCCGGGAGAGGGAUGCGGAAUUCCAGGUGUAGCGGUGAAAUGCGUAGAUAUCUGGAGGAACACCGGUGGCGAAGGCGGCAUCCUGGACCGGCAUUGACGCUGAGGCGCGAAAGCCAGGGGAGCAAACGGG
rnacentral:rRNA from 1 species